rfam:Myotis davidii contig190245, whole genome shotgun sequence.
AGGCCUGCAGAGAGAGAGGCAGGGUCUGAUCUGUAGCCUCUGUGGCAGUUGUUGAUCAGAAGUUGCCUCUCUUUCUCUCCCUG